GUAGAGGUGGCAGGUAGCCUAGUGGUUAGAGUGUAGAGGUGGCAGGUAGCCUAGUGGUUAGAGAGUAGAGGUGGCAGGUAGCCUAGUGGUUAGAGAGUAGAGGUGGCAGGUAGCCUAGUGGUUAGAGUGUAGAGGUGGCAGGUAGCCUAGUGGUUAGAGAGUAGAGGCGGCAGGUAGCCUAGUGGUUAGAGUGUAGAGGUGGCAGGUAGCCUAGUGGUUAGAGUGUAGAGGUGGCAGGUAGCCUAGUGGUUAGAGUGUAGAGGUGGCAGGUAGCCUAGUGGUUAGAGAGUUGGGCCAGUAACAGAAAGGUUGCUAGAUUGAAUCCCCAAGCUGACAAGGUAACAAUUUGUCGUUCUGCCUCUGGACAUGGCAGUUAACCCACUGUUCCUAGACCAUCAUUUGAAGUAAGAAUUUGUUCUUAACUGACUUGUCUGGUUAAAUGAAAUAAUUUUUUUUUUGUUAUCUCAACCAGCUUCACCUGGAAUGCUUUUCCAACAGUCUUGAAGGAGUUCCCACAUAUGCUGAGCACUUGUUGGCUGCUUUUCCUUCACUCUGCGGUCCAACUCAUCCCAAACCAUCUCAAUUGGGUUGAGGUCUGGUGAUUGUGGAGGCCAUUUCAUCUGAUGCAGCACUCCAUCACUCUCCUUCUUGGUCAAAUAGCCCUUACGCAGCCUGGAG
rnacentral:lncRNA from 1 species